rnacentral:rRNA from 1 species
GAUCCUGGCUCAGGAUGAACGCUAGCGACAGGCUUAACACAUGCAAGUCGAGGGGCAGCAUAAAAGUAGCAAUACUUGGUGGCGACCGGCGCACGGGUGAGUAACGCGUAUGCAACCUACCUAUCAGAGGGGAAUAACCCGGCGAAAGUCGGACUAAUACCGCAUAAAACAGGGGCACCGCAUGGUGAUAUUUGUUAAAGAAAUUCGCUGAUAGAUGGGCAUGCGUUCCAUUAGGUAGUUGGUGAGGUAACGGCUCACCAAGCCGACGAUGGAUAGGGGAACUGAGAGGUUGGUCCCCCACACUGGUACUGAGACACGGACCAGACUCCUACGGGAGGCAGCAGUGAGGAAUAUUGGUCAAUGGGCGGGAGCCUGAACCAGCCAAGUCGCGUGAAGGAAAGAAGGAUCUAUGGUUCGUAAACUUCUUUUGCAGGGGAAUAAAGUGCAGGACGUGUCCUGUUUUGUAUGUACCCUGAGAAUAAGGAUCGGCUAACUCCGUGCCAGCAGCUGC